rnacentral:rRNA from 1 species
ACUGAACGCUGGCGGCAUGCCUUACACAUGCAAGUCGAACGGCAGCGCGGGCUUCGGCCUGGCGGCGAGUGGCGGACGGGUGAGUAAUGCAUCGGAACGUGCCCACGAGUGGGGGAUAACGUAGCGAAAGUUACGCUAAUACCGCAUACGUAAUGAGGUUGAAAGCGGGGGAUUGAAAGACCUCGCGCUCAAGGAGCGGCCGAUGUCGGAUUAGCUAGUUGUGGGGUAAAACCGCACCAAGGCGACGAUCCGUAGCUGGUCUGGGGGGACGACCAGCCAGACUGGGACUGAGACACGUCCCAGACUCCUACGGGAGGCAGCAGUGGGGAAUCUUGGACAAUGGGGGAAACCCUGAUCCAGCAAUGCCGCGUGUGGGAUGAAGGCCCUCGGGUUGUAAACCACUUUUGGCAGGAAAGAAAUCGCCUGUGCUACUACCACGGGCGGAUGACGGUACCUGCAGAAUAAGCACCGGCUAACUACGUGCCAGCAGCCGCCGUAA